rnacentral:rRNA from 1 species
UACAGAGGUCUCGAGCGUUAGGCGGAAUCACUGGGCUUAAAGCGUGUGUAGGUGGAUGCCUAAGUACCUUGUGAAAUCCUACAGCUUAACUGUGGAACUGCUUGGUAUACUGGGUGUCUUGAGUCACUCAGGGGCGAGCGGAACAAAUGGUGGAGCGGUGAAAUGCGUAGAUAUCAUUUGGAACGCCAAUGGUGAAAACAGCUCGCUGGGGGUGUACUGACACUGAGACACGAAAGCCAGGGGAGCGAACGGG